rfam:Ictidomys tridecemlineatus contig074898, whole genome shotgun sequence.
AGGGAUGUGGCUCAGUGGUAGAGCACUUUCUUAGCAUGUUAGUAGCCCUGGGUUCAAUUCCUAGCAUCACUA